AGUUAUAGAUAUUUAUUUCUGAACCGAGUCUGUCCUCCAUAGUUUUUUCUGAUUUUUCUAUUUGAAAUUGAGGUUUUGUUUUGAUCAAAGUUGGGUUAUGCAGAUCCGACCAUAAAUCUUGAAGUUAAUGAUUUUGGUUGUUGUAUUUUUUCAUGUGAUUCCUUACAUCCGUUAUAACAAUCUGAAUCCCACCAUUCGUCAAGCAAC